CCUACGGGAGACAGCAGUGGGGGAUAUUGCACAAUGGGGGGAACCCUGAUGCAGCGACGCCGCGUGGGUGAAGAAGCGCCUCGGCGCGUAAAGCCCUGUCAGCAGGGAAGAAAAUGACGGUACCUGAAGAAGAAGCCCCGGCUAACUACGUGCCAGCAGCCGCGGUAAUACGUAGGGGGCAAGCGUUUUCCGGGUUUACUGGGUGGAAAGGGGGCGCAGACGGCGAUGCAAGCCAGGAGUGAAAGCCCGGGGCCCAACCCCGGGACUGCUCUUGGAACUGCGUGGCUGGAGUGCAGGAGGGGCAGGCGGAAUUCCUGGUGUAGCGGUGAAAUGCGUAGAUAUCAGGAGGAACACCGGUGGCGAAGGCGGCCUGCUGGACUGCAACUGACGUUGAGGCCCGAAAGCGUGGGGAGCAAACAGGAUUAGAUACCCUUGUAGUC
rnacentral:rRNA from 1 species